rnacentral:tRNA from 2 species
UAUGGCAGAAAUCAUGCAAUGAACUUAAGAUUCAUCUAUAAAGAAUAAUCUUUUAUUAGAA